rnacentral:tRNA from 1 species
CCUGGUGUAGCUCAGCAGCAGAGCACCCGGCUUGAUACCGGGCGGGCGCACGUGCAAGUCGUGCCACCAGGU